rnacentral:rRNA from 1 species
UACGAAGGGGACUAGCGUUGUUCGGAAUCACUGGGCGUAAAGCGCACGUAGGCGGAUGUGUCAGUCAGAGGUGAAAUCCCGGGGCUCAACCUCGGAACUGCCUUUGAUACAGCACGUCUCGAGUCCGGAAGAGGUGGGUGGAAUUCCUAGUGUAGAGGUGAAAUUCGUAGAUAUUAGGAAGAACACCGGUGGCGAAGGCGGCCCACUGGUCCGGUACUGACGCUGAGGUGCGAAAGCGUGGGGAGCAAACAGG